rnacentral:tRNA from 2 species
GCACCCGUAGCUCAAUUGGAUAGAGCAUCGGUCUACGGAACCGAAGGUUACUGGUUCGAAUCCAGUCGGGUGUA